GUGCUCACUUUAGCAGCACAUAUACUAAAAUUAGAACAAUAUAUAGAAAAUUAACAUGGCUCCUUCACAAGGAGGAUACGCAAAUUCAUGAAGCAUUUCAUAAAAAA
ensembl:snRNA U6 U6 spliceosomal RNA